rnacentral:rRNA from 1 species
UACGAAGGGGGCUAGCGUUGUUCGGAUUUACUGGGCGUAAAGCGCACGUAGGCGGAUCGUUAAGUCAGGGGUGAAAUCCUGGAGCUCAACUCCAGAACUGCCUUUGAUACUGAAGAUCUUGAGUUCGGGAGAGGUGAGUGGAACUGCGAGUGUAGAGGUGAAAUUCGUAGAUAUUCGCAAGAACACCAGUGGCGAAGGCGGCUCACUGGCCCGAUACUGACGCUGAGGCACGAAAGCGUGGGGAGCAAACAGGG